UACAUAGGGUGCAAGCGUUGUCCGGAAUUAUUGGGCGUAAAGAGCUCGUAGGUGGUUUGUUACGUCGGUUGUGAAAUUCAGGGGCUCAACCCCUGACUUGCGAGCCGAUACCGGGCAAGCUAGAGUUUGGUAGGGGAGACUGGAAUUCCUGGUGUAGCGGUGGAAUGCGCAGAUAUCAGGAGGAACACCGAUGGCGAAGGCAGGUCUCUGGGCCAA
rnacentral:rRNA from 1 species